rnacentral:rRNA from 1 species
UACGGGGGGAGCAAGCGUUGUUCGGAUUUACUGGACGUAAAGGGCGCGUAGGCGGUCGUGACAAGUCACUUGUGAAAUCUCCGGGCUUAACUCGGAACGGUCAAGUGAUACUGUCGGACUAGAGUACAGAAGGGGCAACUGGAAUUCUCGGUGUAGCGGUGAAAUGCGUAGAUAUCGAGAGGAACACCUGCGGCGAAGGCGGGUUGCUGGGCUGAUACUGACGCUGAGGCGCGAAAGCCAGGGGAGCGAACGGG